rnacentral:rRNA from 1 species
AGCGAACGCUGGCGGCAGGCCUAACACAUGCAAGUCGAACGAACCUUUCGGGGUUAGUGGCGGACGGGUGAGUAACACGUGGGAACGUGCCUUUAGGUUCGGAAUAACUCAGGGAAAAUUGUGCUAAUACCGAAUGUGCCCUUCGGGGGAAAGAUUUAUCGCCUUUAGAGCGGCCUGCGUCUGAUUAGCUAGUUGGUUGCGGUAAUGGCUCACCAAGGCGACGAUGAGUAGCUGGUCUGAGAGGAUGGUCAGCCACCUUGGGACUGAGACACGGCCCAAACUCCUACGGGAGGCAGCAGUGGGGAAUCUUGCGCAAUGGGCGAAAGCCUGACGCAGCCAUGCCGCGUGAAUGAUGAAGGUCGUAGGAUUGUAAAAUUCUUUCACCGGGGACGAUAAUGACGGUACCCGGAGAAGAAGCCCCGGCUAACUUCGUG